GACGAACGCUGGCGGCGUGCUUAAUACAUGCAAGUUGAACGCGCACGGUUGGUACUUGUACCAACUGGUUGGGCAGCGAACGGGUGAGUACCGCGUGGUGAAUCUCCCUUUGAGCGGGGGUCAAUACUUGGAAACGAAUGUUAAUACCGCAUAACCACUUUAAACACAUGGUUCAAGUUUGAAAGAUGCCAUUGCCUCACUCAACGAUGGUCCAGCGGUGUAUUAGCUAGUUGGUGUGGUAAAGGGUCACCACGGCGAUGAUACAUGGCGGACCUGAGAGGGGGAUCGGCCACAUUGGGACGGAGACACGGCCCAAACUCCUACGGGAGGCAGCAGAAGGGAAUCGUGGGCAAUGGACGAGAGUCUUACCGGGCGACGCCGCGUGGGUGAAGAAGGGUUGCGGUUCGGAAAACGCGGUUGGUAGAGAAGAACGGUGGGGAGAGUGGAAAGCGCAGGAAGUGACGGUAACUACGCAGAAAGGGACGGCUAACUACGUG
rnacentral:rRNA from 1 species